CUCCUGCCUGUGGAAAUCUCCUGCCUAACUUAAUUCAGGCUCACUCUUUAUCCCAACAUUGGAAUAGACGGACUAAACCUGGUCAAUUGUGCAUGGAGGAAAAACACCCUUUCUGACUUUUGCAGAUUGUCAAACUCGUGCCCAGCUAAGCGACAAAUCCAUCUUUUCAGAGAUCAAUUACAGUGUCUGGCUGCAAAGCCUGAAAAUCCAAUUAACUCCAAAAUAAAUUUUAAAAAAAUGA